rnacentral:lncRNA from 1 species
AUACCUAUCCUUAAGCCACUAAAGGAUGGAGCAGGAGUAGUGACCGUUAAAGCUAGAUGGACAAAUUGACAUGAUUUGAACUCUGAAAACAACUUACUCCUACUUUUAUGGAUGAUAUUCUCCAAGUUGUUAAAAAGAAGAAACAUCCACCAAUAUAUUAGCUUGGCUUCAGAUUAGGUCAUUUUGUCUCCAUAAGUUCUUGUUUACAAAAUGAUAUGCCUGGA